UGAACGCUAGCGACCAGGCCUAACACAUGCAAGUCGAGGGGCAGCACAAGGAGCAAUCUGAGGUGGCGACCGGCGCACGGGUGAGUAACACGUAUGCAACCUGCCUGUAAGCGGGGAAUAACCCGUUGAAAGACGGACUAAUACCGCAUAAUACUAAAUUACUGCAUGGUAAUUUAUUUAAACAUUUAUGGCUUACAGAUGGGCAUGCGCAUGAUUAGCUAGUUGGAGAGGUAACGGCUCCCCAAGGCAACGAUCAUAGGGGUUCUGAGAGGAAGGUCCCCCACACUGGUACUGAGACACGGACCAGACUCCUACGGGAGGCAGCAGUGAGGAAUAUUGGUCAAUGGACGAGAGUCUGAACCAGCCAAGUCGCGUGCAGGAAGAAUGUCCUAAUGGAUUGUAAACUGCUUUUGCAGGGGAAUAAAGUGCAUCACGUGUGAUGUUUUGUAUGUACUCUGCGAAUAAGGAUCGGCUAACUCCGUGCCAGCAGCUGC
rnacentral:rRNA from 1 species